rnacentral:rRNA from 1 species
UACGGAGGUGGCAAGCGUUACUCGGAAUUAUUGGGUGUAAAGGGCAAGUAGGUGGUCUAAUAAGUGAGGGGUGAAAUCCUCCGGCUCAAUCGGAGAACUGCCCUUCAAACUGCUAGACUUGAGGUUGACAGGGGGAAAUGGAAUUCUCGGUGUAAGGGUGAAAUCUGUAGAUAUCGAGAAGAACACCAGCGGCGAAGGCGAUUUCCUGGGUCAAUCCUGACACUAAAUUGCGAAAGCUAGGGGAGCAAACAGA